CCCCUCCCAGGUCAGCCAGGGGGCACUCGGCUUCCGCAGGCGCUCUGCGUCGGCUCCGUCCCCACCCGGCGGCCGGCGCGAUGGCGGGGGCCGCACUGAGGGUCGCCGGGCGGCAGCUCAGCCAGCGCAGCGGCUCUGGAGUCCCCAUCCUCCUACGGCAGAUGUUUGAGCCCAAGAGCUGCACCUACACGUACCUCCUGGGUGACAGAGAGUCCCGUGAGGCCAUUCUGAUCGACCCGGUUCUGGAGACAGCGCCUCGGGAUGCGCAGCUGGUCAAGGAACUGGGGCUGCGGCUGCUGUAUGCUGUGAAUACCCACUGCCACGCGGACCACAUUACCGGCUCAGGGGUGCUCCGGUCCCUACUCCCCGGCUGCCAGUCUGUCAUCUCCCGCCUUAGUGGGGCCCAGGCUGACUUGCACAUUGAGGAUGGAGACUCCAUCCACUUCGGGCGCUUCGCCUUGGAGACCCGGGCGAGCCCUGGCCACACCCCAGGCUGUGUCACCUUUGUUCUGAAUGACCACAGCAUGGCCUUCACUGGAGAUGCCCUGCUCAUCCGAGGGUGUGGGCGGACGGACUUCCAGCAAGGCUGUGCUAAGACCUUGUACCACUCAGUCCACGAAAAGAUCUUCACGCUUCCAGGAGACUGUCUGAUCUACCCUGCUCAUGAUUACCACGGUGAGGUCUUCCUGGAGGGCUCACAGUGUCCACUGUGGAGGAGGAGCGGACUUUGAACCCACGGCUUACCCUCAGCUGUGAGGAGUUUGUCAAGGUCAUGGACAACCUGAACUUGCCCAAGCCUCAGCAGAUAGACUUUGCUGUUCCAGCUAACAUGCGCUGUGGGAUCCAGACUCCCCCUUCCUGACCCGGCUUUGUCAGGCACUCAUUUCUGUUAAGAAUGCACUAGGUGGGGUACAGAGAGAGGUGCCAUCGCCAGGCAUCUCUUCUUCCCCUCCCUCACCAGCCCCUGAGCUUCUUAAA